UACGUAGGGUGCGAGCGUUGUCCGGAAUUAUUGGGCGUAAAGGGCUCGUAGGCGGUUUGUCACGUCGGGAGUGAAAACUCGGGGCUUAACCCCGAGCCUGCUUCCGAUACGGGCUGACUAGAGGUAUGCAGGGGAGAACGGAAUUCCUGGUGUAGCGGUGAAAUGCGCAGAUAUCAGGAGGAACACCGGUGGCGAAGGCGGGUCUCUGGGCAGUAACUGACGCUGAGGAACGAAAGCGUGGGUAGCAAACAGG
rnacentral:rRNA from 1 species